AUUGAACGCUGGCGGCAGGCUUAACACAUGCAAGUCGAGCGAGCGGCGGACGGGUGUGUAAUGUCUGGGAAACUGCCUGAUGGAGGGGGAUAACUACUGGAAACGGUAGCUAAUACCGCAUACCAUCAGAUGUGCCCAGAUGGGAGUAGCUAGUGGGUGGGGUAAUGGCUCACCUAGGAGAAGAUCCCUAGCUGGUCUGAGAGGAUGACCGGCCACACUGGAAGUGGGCCACGGUCCAGACUCCUACGGGAGGCAGCAGUGGGGAAUAUGGCGCAAUGGGCGCAAGCCUGAUACAGCCAGGGCGCGUGUGUUAAGAAGGCCUUCGGGUUGUAAAGCACUUUCAGCGGGGAUGCGUUACUCGCAGAAGAAGCACCGGCUAACUCCGUGCCAGCAGCCGCGGUAAUAC
rnacentral:rRNA from 1 species